rnacentral:rRNA from 1 species
AUCGAACGCUGGCGGCAGGCCUAAUACAUGCAAGUAGCGCGGAGCGGAGGACGGGCGAGUAAUGCCUAGGAAUCUGCCUGGUAUUGGGGGAUAACGUCCGGAAACGGGAGCUAAUAUCGUAUACCAUACGAUGAGCCUAGGUCGGAUUAGGUAGUGGGUGGGGUAAAGGCUUACAAAGGGGACGAUCAUUAACUGGUCUGAGAGGCUGACCAGUCACACUGGAACUGAGACACGGUCCGGACUCCUACGGGAGGAAGCAGUGGGGAAUAUGGGACAGUGGGCGAAAGCCUGCUCCAACCAUGCCGCGUGUGUAAAGAAGGUCUUCGGAUUGUAACGCACUUUAAUUUGGGAGGCGUUACCAACAGAAUAAGCGCCGGCUAACUUCGUGCCAGCAGCCGCGGUAAUAC